rnacentral:miRNA from 1 species
UCCAUAUGAUGAUGAGCCAGAUCCAGUUGAUGGAUGGUUUGACGAUGACCAGAGAGUCGACAUUGAUCAUCGUCAAACCAUCCAUCAACUGGAUCUGGCUCAUCAUCA